rnacentral:rRNA from 1 species
AUAUACCUACGGGGGGCAGCAGUAGGGAAUCUUCCACAAUGGACGAAAGUCUGAUGGAGCAACGCCGCGUGAGUGAAGAAGGGUUUCGGCUCGUAAAACUCUGUUGGUAGUGAAGAAAGAUAGAGGUAGUAACUGGCCUUUAUUUGACGGUAAUUACUUAGAAAGUCACGGCUAACUACGUGCCAGCAGCCGCGGUAAUACGUAGGUGGCAAGCGUUGUCCGGAUUUAUUGGGCGUAAAGCGAGUGCAGGCGGUUCAAUAAGGCUG